UACGUAGGUGGCAAGCGUUGUUCGGAAUUAUUGGGCGUAAAGGGCGCGUAGGCGGUUUGCUAAGUCAGUUGUGAAAGCCCGGGGCUCAACCCCGGAGGGUCGGCUGAUACUGGUGGACUAGAGUACGGAAGAGGUAGCUGGAAUUCCUGGUGUAGCGGUGAAAUGCGCAGAUAUCAGGAAGAACACCCGUGGCGAAGGCGGCUCUCUGGGACGGUACUGACGCUGAGACGCGAAAGCGUGGGGAGCGAACAGG
rnacentral:rRNA from 1 species